UGCAAUUCAGAACGCUGAAGGCAUUCUCUGUUUAAAUAAUACUCUUGUUUUUUUAGAGUUUUUUUAGGUCACCUUGUUUCAUGUUGUUAAAACAACUUGGCAUCACACUUUUGCACUUUCCAAGGAAACUGUUUUCAAUGCUAUUUCCUGCACUGACAAUGGGUGGAGUCUUAUUGAGGCAUCUGGGGUUUCCUCACCUGGCUGGAGAUCCACAACAAUAGACCCAACAAGGAGCUUCUUACAGGGAACUGAUCCACACACUAAUCAGGAAAUGACAAAGCUUCAUCUGGAAUCAAGACCCCAGAGAGCGAAAUCCUGCCCAGCGAGAUCUGGCGGUCGCUGAAAGGCCAAGAGAUUUUGUACUCAAUAGAACCAUAGAGGAGACCAUGCUACAGAUGACAGAAUGACCAUCCAAAUGCCCUUACAGUCUCCAAGCUCACCAGGAAUAGAAGAUUCUGCCAAAUGACAAGAUUGAUUCACUCAAUGAGGCACCUACCAGAAACAAGGAGUACUGAAAAGAAAAACAGGAGCAUUUAAAGACAAGAGAUUUGUUUGACCAGAGGGAUUGAUCGAUCCAACAGCGCUCAGCAGAGAAGCAGGCACCAGCCAGGUAGUCACCAAAGUGAAUUGACUAUAUCAGAAACCCCAGUCAAAUAAAACACCUCAACCCCGGACAGGACUGCAAGCAAUAACUGAAAGGUGGAUUUGCAGCAAGAAAAAAUUCAACACAUAUUCAGUCACUGCUUCUUGUAAAUUCAUCAAUAAUUUGUGUUUACAGCAAUACUUCACAAGCGGAACACCUGAUGCAACUGAAACUGAUACUUUAUUCGGAUGAAUUGUCUCAUUCUCUACAGGUCAAUAACAGUUAUCUUCUGUUAUGGUGUCUGCUUUCCUUAAUGAGGCACUUUAUUCAUUAUCAGGUUCUCGGUACACCUACACUGAACAGAGAAGAAAUCUUCAUAUGAUUCGGAUGAAGGGACUCCACUCAAAAUGUUAGCCUAUCUGUUCUCAGUUCUUUGCUGACAUGCCUGGUGUCCGUUUCCAGUGUUUUCUGCUUUCUUUCUUAUUUAUAAUUUUCCUUUUACCGCUGAAUAUUGGAUCUCUACCUUUAGGUGGCACCAGCUGUGAAAUGUUCCUCUUUAAAUAUUUUUUCUCUCAUUCUCAUUUAAUCAACCAUGUUACUGGGAGAUACAGUGUGCUUUUCUCCCUGUAAAUUUGCUUUGGUAAAGAUUUUCUUUUAUCAAUGAGAAAGUUAAUCACUGACGUAAAGAGUCAAAAUAUUCUGGGGCCGUUUUAAGUUAAAAAUAAUAAAAGCACAAUUUCCACUUGUUUGCAAGAUGGUAGAAAUAAAUGUGGAGAGAUCUCCCAUAAUAAAUAGACUUUAACAGAUUCAGCUCUGAUUCUCUCUUUUUUUAACUUUUCAUGCUACACAGCUGUCUCUAGCCAUAAAACAUCUCAUAAAAUUAUAUUCUGCUGAUUACUGAAUAUAGCAAUCGGGGAUUAGAAAAUCCA